rnacentral:lncRNA from 1 species
GUCAGACAGGGCAGACUACCUCUGUCAUUCAACAGGUAAGGCCCAACAACAAUAUGACCUCAACCACCUUAUUAAUGAAGCAGUACAACUGAUUUGUGAAAGAAAAUGCAUUAGUCGUACACAUCAGACCAUGUUUAUGGUAGCAAUGUAGCAAUUACCUAUGUUAUUAAUUGAUCUAAUGUAAAACAAUUCAUUAAACUGAGAAAUGACAUGACCAUAAUCAGCAGAGUACCUUGUGAGCCACAACUCUGCAUGCCUUGUAUAAUGUUAUAACUGCAUUACAACAAAUGCUUUAGAAAUGAGUUGAUUGCUUUGUACUCUCUUUGAUUGAGCCUCUAUAGUAGCUCUAUAACUAAUAUAUCUGAAUCUACAGUCCGUCUAAUCACCCCUUUUUAUUCAGACGGCAACAAGAGGAGGUAUCAGAUUAAGAGAAAAAUAGUUGAGGACAAAGCAGCCUUGACAGCUGCUAUUGUUCAACUUCACGAGCAGCAGGCAGAGUUUAGGCUCCCCACAGUGGAUGAGCUGCUCAACACUGACAACUUUGUGUGGCCAUGGGAGAGACUUGGCACCAGUAUAUGAUUGCAGAAGGUAUCUAUUGUGAAUAUUUACCUUCAGCGUAGGCUGCAAUCAUUGCUGUUGUUCUGUUAUAUAUCUCUGUGAGUUUACAUCUCACAGGCAACAGCCAUCUCAAAAAGGCGAUCUUCGACAGACUGAUGAUGGUGAACAGACUGCAGGAGGAAGAGAGGAUCCUGGUGCAGGAGAUGAAAAGUUACUGGGGUAGCCUACAAAGACCAACGGAACCCUAGAGGCACUCUCCCUACAGCUGCAAGAUCAGAGCAAUGCAGUGGAGUUGUCAGAGGGAGUGAGGAAUGGCCUUCUCUGCCACCUGACGAGAAGAUUGAGUGAACUGACACAAUACCAAGACAACACCUACCACAAGCUGAUUUUGAUGACUGAUGUAGAUGAAAACUCAGAUGAAGAUAGAAGUCCUAUUGCUGAGAGCUCAGAUGACGACUGCUAUGCUUUCUGAAAUCAUACACCGCCCCUGCCUCUUUCUCUCGGUCUCGCUCUCUCCCGCAGGAGAGGGAGAAAACCACCAACAUCUCCCUCGGGAGCAGCCUGCCACCAUCUCCCUCGGGAGCAGCCGAGAAAUAAUAUGGCGACAUCAUCAGCAACUCAGAAUGUUGGUUGAGGACCUUUUUACUGAGGAAUGUGGAUGUUCUUCAUUAUAUUUUUUUUGUAUUUUCUAUGCUGCCAUGAUUGUGAUUUUUGUGUAAUUGUAAGUUGCAAAAGAGUCCUUGUUCUCAAU